AGUAUUAUCAACAGGCGUGAACAAAGUUGUGCGGCCCACUAUGAACAGUAUUGUCAACAUGUUGUUACAACAUUGUUCAACUGGAACAACAUGGUUGACAACUUGUUCAUAGUUGGCCGUACAACAUUGUUCACGCCUGUCGAUAUCAACU